GACGGAGGAUGCAAGUGUUAUCCGGAAUCACUGGGCGUAAAGCGCGCGCAGGCGGCCACUUAAGUCCGCUGGUGAAAGACCGGGGCUCAACCCCGUGUCAGCCAGGGAUACUGGGUGGCUGGAGACAGGUAGAGGCAAGCGGAAUUCCGGGUGUAGCGGUGGAAUGCGUAGAGAUCCGGAAGAACACCGGAGGCGAAGGCGGCUUGCUGGACCUGGUCUGACGCUGAGGCGCGAAAGCGUGGGGAGCGAACAGG
rnacentral:rRNA from 1 species